GCUGUUUUAGUUUAUUUUUUUUUUUGAAUUUGGAUUUUGUAAUUCUGAGGUAAUUUUUCAGUU
rnacentral:tRNA from 1 species